rnacentral:rRNA from 1 species
GUCCAGCAGGCGCGAAUACUUUACAAUGUGCGAAAGCACGAUAAGGGAACUCUGAGUGCCUCCUACGGAGGCUGUUCAGGUGCCUAAAACACACCUGAAGGAAGGGCUGGGUAAGACCGGUGCCAGCCGCCGCGGUAACACCGGCAGCCCAAGUGGUAGCCACUUUUAUUGGGUCUAAAGCGUCCGUAGCCGGCCAGGUAAGUUCCGUGGGAAAUUUGGCCGCUUAACGGUCAAACUACCAGGGAAUACUGCCUGGCUUGGGGACUGGGAGAGGGCAGAGGUACUCCAGGGGUAGGGGUGAAAUCCAUUAAUCCCUGGGGGACCACCGGUAGCGAAGGCGUCUGUCCAGACCAGGUCCGACGGUGAGGGACGAAGGCUAGGGGCGCGAACCGGAUUAGAUACCCGUGUAGU